UUCGCCUGUUUUUUUUAAAAACAUAGCUUGAAGAUUUAUUUUAGGUAAAUUCUGCCCAGCGUAAAUAUUAGCGGCCGCAGUACCUUGACUGUGCUAAGGUAGCAUAAUCAAUUGGCUUUUAAUUGAAGUCUGGAAUGAACGGAUAAAUGAGGACUUGCUGUCUCUUAAUAAUUAUUUUGAAAUUAUUUAUUAAGUGAAAAUACUUAUAACUAGAAAAAAGACGAGAAGACCCUUAGAAUUUUUAAUAAAAUAUAGAUUAAUAUUAUUUUUUUGUUGGGGCGACAUUGAAACAAUUAAACUUUCUUUAUAUUCAUGACAUUUAAAUUUGAAAGAAUAAAUUACCUUAGGGAUAACAGCAUAAUUAAUUAAUUAGUUUGUGACCUCGAUGUUGGACUAGGAACUAAUUGACUAACAGUCAAAAUAGAUUGUUCUGUUCGAACAGAAAUUCCUACGUGAUCUGAUUACAGACCGGAA
rnacentral:rRNA from 1 species